rnacentral:rRNA from 1 species
ACUAGAGUAGCACUCGCAUAUCAAUAAGCGGAGGAAAAGAAACUAACAAGGAUUCCCCUAGUAACGGCGAGUGAAGCGGGAAGAGCUCAAAUUUGAAAUCUUAAAGGGUUUCCCUUUACGAAUUGUAGUUUAAAGAAGUGUUUUCUGUUGAGGUUUUGGUAAAAGUUCUUUGGAAUAGGACAUCAUAGAGGGUGAGAAUCCCGUAUUUGACCUUUACUUUCAACUUUGUGAUACACUUUCAAAGAGUCGGAUUGUUUGGGAAUGCAGUCCAAAAUGGGUGGUAAAUUUCAUCUAAAGCUAAAUAUUGGCGAGAGACCGAUAGCGAACAAGUACCGUGAGGGAAAGAUGAAAAGAACUUUGAAAAGAGAGUUAAACAGUACGUGAAAAUUGUCAAAAGGGAAGCGUUUGACACCAGUGUUGUUUUUCUGAAAAUCAAUUAAAGAACUGUUUAUGCUAAGCUGUUUAGACUUUAUCAGCUAAUCUGUUUAGUUUUGAGCUUUUCUUUAAUGCACUUUUCAGUUAACAAGUCAACAUCAAUUUCUUUUGCUGUAAAAAAGCUUGAGGAAGGUGGCUUGAGAUUCGUCUUAAGUGUUUAUAGCCUCUUGCCUAUGCAGUCGGAGAGAUUGAGGUCUGCAGCGUAGAUCCUUCGGGGCUAAAUGCAUUUGUGCUAAGUUAUAGCAUUUUAUAGACAACUUGUUGACUAUGAUUUGUCUUGUAGCUUACUCGCUUAUGUUAUUUUACCUACGCUUAGGAUGUUGAGCGCAUGUCUCUCUCU